AUUCAAUUUCCUGUUCAACAAUAUCGUAAAUUUAUGCGUAAAGCGCAAAACAAAUCUCACAAAAUAGCUACUCCUCCAACGACGCCUGUUAAAAAUAGAUUUAAAAUUAUGUCAGUAGUAAAAUUAGAAUAACCAAAAAGCAAAUGAAUUAAUUCUCUGUCGGCAAUCGAUUAAUAAAACCAGAAAGUUUAAACGGUUUGCCUAUCUUAACAAUCUGAAAGAUCGGGGCUACCGUGUGGUAAGUUUCGCUACUAAAGCCAUUCCCAUUAGCGGGUUCGACUUCUAACGCGGCACAAACACAAACUUGUAAAAAUUCAAUUAUAAUCUGAAAAUAAACUGGAAUUAUUGUGAAGUGGGGAAAUUAAUUACAUUUUUACGUUAUGCAAGCGCACACUGUUGAUGAAGUAACCCAUUCAACAAGACCGAUAACUUUGUUUAUGUAAAAAAAUGAUAAUUUAAAUCUGUGACCUUAUAUAAUUUUUGGUGAAAAUGGCACACGAAACGAAUGAUGUUGCUAGAAGGAAUCGUAACAACUCCUGGUGGAAACGAAGAACAAGUCUAGAAAAGAAAGGAGUCAUCUUACUAGUUAUAGCAUUAAUUCUACUCAUCGCUUUAAUUAUUGCACUUGCAGUAGUUGCGCAUCGUAAAUCGAAAAGGUAAAAGCUAUUUUGUUUAUUUUC